AUUGAACGCUGGCUGCAGGCCUAACACAUGCAAGUCGAACGAUUGGCGGCCGGGUGAGUAAUGUCUGGGAAACUGCCCGAUGGAGGGGGAUAACUACUGGAAACGGUAGCUAAUACCGCAUACCAUCGGAUGUUCCCAGAUGGGUUUAGCUCGUGGGUGGGGUAAUGGCUCACCUAGGCGACGUUCCCUAGCUGGUCUGAGAGGAUGACCAGCCACACUGGAACUGAGACACGGUCCAGACUCCUCCGGGAGGCAGCAGUGGGGAAUAUUGCACAAUGGGCGCAAGCCUGAUGCAGCCAUGCCGCGUGUAUGAAGAAGGCCUUCGGGUUGUAAAGUACUUUCAGCGGGGAGGCGGGAAGCGAAGAAGAAGCACCGGCUAACUCCGUGCCAGCAGCAGCGGUAAUAG
rnacentral:rRNA from 1 species